CGGACGGGUGAGUAAAGCGUGAGAAUCUGCCCUCAGGAGGGGGAUAACGGUUGGAAACGACCGCUAAUACCCCAUAUGCCUAUUGGUGAAAUGAAUUUCGCCUGAGGAUGAGCUCGCGUCUGGUUAGCUAGUUGGUGAGGUAAUGGCUCACCAAGGCUUCGAUCAGUAGCUGGUCUGAGAGGAUGAUCAGCCACACUGGGACUGAGACACGGCCCAGACUCCUACGGGAGGCAGCAGUGGGGAAUUUUCCGCAAUGGGCGAAAGCCUGACGGAGCAACGCCGCGUGAGGGACGAAGGCCUCUGGGCUGUAAACCUCUUUUCUCAAGGAAGAAGAUAUGACGGUACUUGAGGAAUAAGCCACGGCUAAUUCCGUGCCAGCAGCCGCGGUAAUACGGGAGUGGCAAGCGUUAUCCGGAAUUAUUGGGCGUAAAGCGUCCGCAGGCGGCUUAUCAAGUCUGCUGUUAAAGCGUGGAGCUUAACUCCAUCAUGGCAGUGGAAACUGAUAGGCUUGAGUAUGGUAGGGGCAGAGGGAAUUCCCGGUGUAGCGGUGAAAUGCGUAGAUAUCGGGAAGAACACCAGUGGCGAAGGCGCUCUGCUGGGCCAUUACUGACGCUCAUGGACGAAAGCCAGGGGAGCGAAAGGGAUUAGAUACCCCAGUAGUC
rnacentral:rRNA from 1 species